ACCUGCCGGGUGGCCUGGAAACUGUCGCAGUUAUGUGCAGCCACCCACUAAGCAGGGAUACUAUCAGGCAUCGAUUCCUAAGGGGGUGAAAAUGGGACUUGGACCCUUUAGACACGUUAUCCUUGUGAAUGGACAUUAAGAAGAACACUGUAUGUAGUUAUAGAGGAUGGAUCUCUGUAUAUGUGUCAUUUCUGGCCAUUUGGAGCGCUCUGUGGAGCGCAAGAGCCCGACUUCCGGUGGAACAACGAGUGGAACGCAUUGUGGAACGCAUGAGAGUCACUUCCGGUUCCGGCCGGAAGUGCUGCGAACGCCAUUUCCGCCGGAAAUGAGAGCGGGAAUCGGCGUGGCGGGAAUGUACGCCACACCUGGCAUCUAUGAGCAGAUCAAGUGAGGGUAUUUAGGAGGGAUAGGUCUAACCAGCCACCAUGCCGCUGAUGAAGGACAGAGGUCCGAAAAGCUUCAGGCGUGGUGACUGGUGUAUUGUGGACAAUUCCUGGCGGUGACAGUUUCUUGCGAGUGGGGUUCAGUGUAUCCGGACCGCUGAUCCGCAUCAUCCUAUCUGAGAUCUGGGAGGGUAACUGCACGAAUGCCUGGCAAAUGUCCUAACCCACAAUAGUGGUUACAUGCUUUUUGUUAUUCUGUUUAUUGUGAGUGCAUUUUUAUUAAAAUAUCAUUUUUAACUUUG